UGCAGAGGUCCCAAGCGUUGUUCGGAUUCACUGGGCGUAAAGGGUGCGUAGGCGGUCGGGUAAGUCUGAUGUGAAAUCUCACAGCUUAACUGUGAAACUGCAUUGGAUACUAUCCGGCUCGAGGAAUGGAGGGGAGACUGGAAUACUUGGUAUAGCAGUGAAAUGCGUAGAUAUCAAGUGGAACACCAGUGGCGAAGGCGAGUCUCUGGACAUUUCCUGACGCUGAGGCACGAAAGCCAGGGGAGCAAACGGG
rnacentral:rRNA from 1 species